AUGGCUUACUAUUCAGAUCAUCAGGCUUAUGCGAGCAACACUACAAACAGCACAGAAAGUGUUCAAGAACUGAUAGGUAAGAUUUCCCAUCGAUUAGAUGAUUUAGCUCGGCAGCGAGAAGGAGUUUUUGAGGAUAGGCCUAGUUCUUACGAUCCUUAUUCCAGAGGCCAUCCUUAUGUUGCUCCUACUUGCCAUAUUUGUGGAUUUCAGGGCCAUUCGCCCGCUGAAUGUCAGCGUGGUUACUCCCAUCCUCCGAAUUGUUUUGGCAUGAGCUUUGCUCAACAGCAUAGCUCAUACCAAAACAAUUACUCACAUGGGUGGCCUGAAAGCCUGAAUAUGUCAUAUAGGAGCAACAACCCUGAGAUCUCACAGUUUGGUUCUAGUAAUCAUAUGCAGGGAUUUAGGUACAAUGAGGAGAGCCACAACUAUGCACCACAACAAUUCCAUUCAGCUCCUACUCAUAUACCACAACACCAGGAGAUGUGUACAAUGGAGUUAAAUGGUCCUCCAUUUGGUCAACCAACAACUCAAGCACCUGUUGUGCAAUCUCAUGUGCAAGUGCCCACACAAGAUGAGUUCAAUGACAUAGACAAGCUCACACUUUUGAGUCUCAAGUUCACUUGGAGUGCCGAGGAUGAUCCUAUUAGGAAGGUUAUACUAGAUGAAAUGAAGAAGAUCAAGAGUGGAAAAGAGCUAGUGGAAGAAGUAAGGAAGAUUGAGAAGAACAUCAACACUGGCAGCACUAUUUCUUCACAACUUGAGUUAAGUGUGGCUGAGAUAUCCAUGGAUACAUGUGAGGUUCCAACACCUUCACAUUUCGUUGAGCAAGUUAGCAAGUGCCUUGAGCAAGAGAUACCUCAGAUUGAAGAAGAUGAACUAGAAGACAAGGAACAAGAUGGUCAAGAGCUGCAAUUCCCAAGUGAUCAAGUUGAAGACUCAUCAUCUAUUACUCCUGAAGAAGUACAAGAAGCUGCUGUAGAUGAAGAUGAAGAACAUGAGAUUCAUUUGCCUAUUGUCAUACCAGAGCGUGAUGUGUCAGGUUUACUCAAUCCUCUUGAUGACAUGAUGCCUUGUGAUUUCUUGGCUACCACCUUGCAUUACAUGAUCCAUCACUUAAGAUUGAUUUCAAAACUCAUUUACUUGGAUAUGAUGAUAUAUACCCUGUUAGUGGCAUUGCUCUCAUUUGUGAUGAUCACAAUUACUUUCCUCAUGCUAGUCUUGAGCUUAAUGAUAAAUGUCAUCCUCGUGCGAGUAUUGACCAUGCUGAUUUCUGCCAUCCUAAACAUGUGCUUUAUAGUUAUGCUUAUAUAA
rnacentral:rRNA from 1 species